AACUAGGCGACGUGUGGCUCGUGCGCUACCGUAUUACGGAGCUCAUUUGUAUCAUCCAGCAAAAAACCUAACGAACUCGCCAGCCCUAAUUGACAUCGACAAUAUUUGCUCUUCAGUCUUUGUGAUACCCGUCGGCUUCCAUGGACGCCCAAAGAGCUCUUCUUGAUGAGCUCAUGGGAGCAGCUCGUAAUUUAACAGAGGAAGAGAAGAAAGAUUACCGGGAAAUCCAUUGGGAUGAUAGGGAGGUCUGUGGACCAUUCAUGGUCCGCUUCUGCCCUCACGAUCUAUUUGUAAAUACGAAGAGUGAUCUCGGACUGUGCCCUAAGAUCCACGAUCUGAAGCUCAAGGAGAGUUUUGAGAAAUCUCCUAGACAUGAUGCAUAUGUUCCCAGAUUUGAAGCCGAGCUUGCCCAAUAUUGUGAGAAACUGGCGAUGGACUUGGAUAGAAAAGUGAAGCGUGGACAGGAGAGGCUGGCACAAGAGGUUGAUUUGCCAUUAACAGGUCCGGUUUCAGCCGAGAAGUCAGAACAGUUAUCAGUUCUUGAAGAAAAAAUUAAGAAGUUGCUUGAACAAAUAGAGAAUCUUGGAGAAGCUGGCAAGGUUGAUGAGGCAGAAGCGCUCAUGAGGAAGGUGGAUCUGUUGAAUGCUGAUAAGAUGGUUCUUACUCAGAAUGACAAGUUGGCUCUUACUCAGGAGAAGAAGAUGGCACUCUGUGAAAUAUGUGGUUCUUUCCUGGUUGCAAAUGAUGCUGCUGAGAGAAUUCAGUCUCAUGUAACUGGCAAGCAGCACAUCGGGUAUGGAAUGGUGCGGGAUUUUAUCAACGAGUUCAAGACUGCCAAGGAAAAGAAAAGAGAAGAAGAAAGGCUUGCUAGAGAUAAGGAAGCUGAAGAAAGGAGAAAACAAAGGGAGAGGGAAAGUGAGCAUAGAGGUAGAGGAAAUGAAACAAGUGGUAGAGAACGUGAUCGAUAUCAUGAGCGAAGUUAUGAUCAGGAGAGAUCCCAUGGGUUUACUGGAAGGGGCAGCUUGGAUGGUGGCAGAGGAUCGGAUUGGAAUCGUAAUAAAUACAGGAAUGGGAGGGACUGGGACAGGGAAAGGCUCCGUAGGAAUGGAGAAGUAACACGAGAUAGGACUCGUGGAAGGAGUAGGUCUCGUUCUCCAGUUAGGCAUGGAUACCGGAAAUAAUAAUGCAAUCCAGUUUAUCUAAUACUAAUGUAUAGUGUAGGAAAUCUGUCAAGCUCUCAGAUUCAAGAGCUUUGCUGAAAACAUAUUUUUCUUUAGAGGAGAUGAACUGAGAACCUCUAUUCAUUAGGUUACUUUCUUCUGAUCUUAAUUAAGAUCUCAUACGCAUUCAUUUGCUGGAUGAUGGACCACUAACAAAGCUUAAUCUACUGGAAGGUAACUUAUGGUCUCUUUACUUGCAAUAGGAGUUUAUAAGCUGAAUUUUCAUAAUGGGACAUAAUCUACUAAGGUAUAAUUCUACUAGCAAGCACUUUGAUUUCUCCAAGAUGCUAGAAAUCCCCUCUUGUCUGAGGCACGAGUACAAUUCAUCUAUCCACCAAAAAACUGUUGCAGGUAGACAUGCUGUUUCUUCUUAGCUGUUCAAGUUGCCUUUUUUAUUUUAUUUUUUUAUGAGCAUUAUUUCUUUUAACCUCUCUGCAGCUUGCUUAUUUGUUGGCAAUGAGAAAUUGAUAUUUUCUGUUAACCCAGAUUCCAAUUCUCCUAAUGUUAUUUUAAUUGAUGAUCCAUCUUGUGGACAAAUUCCUUGGCGGUGCCAUUGAUUAAUAUAUGCGUCUCUUAGGUUGUCAAAUGAAUUAACGUUUUAUUACAUAUACUCUGGCAAGGGUGCCUUACAUCUAUUUAAAAGAAAAUUUAUGGGUAGUAAGUUUGUUUUGUAGUUUCUGAUCA